CACGUAGGGCGCAAGCGUUGUCCGGAAUUAUUGGGCGUAAAGAGCUCGUAGGUGGUUUGUUACGUCUGCUGUGAAAACCUAGGGCUUAACCCUGGGCUUGCAGUGGAUACGGGCAGACUAGAGGUAGGUAGGGGAGAAUGGAAUUCCUGGUGUAGCGGUGAAAUGCGUUGAUAUCCACAGGAACUCCGGUGGCGAAGGCGGCAUGCUGGACCACAUCUGACGCUGAGGCGCGAAAGCCAGGGGAGCAAACGGG
rnacentral:rRNA from 1 species